GCGUAGGGUUGGGGAGCGGUGGGGGGAAUGCGAGGGGGGGAAGGGUGGUUCGGAAUGACUGGGCGUAACGGGCGCGGAGGCUGCCUGGUAAUUCGUAAGAGAAAUCCCCGGGCUAAACCCGGGAACUGCGUCCGAUACUGGUAGGCUUGAAUUGGGGAGAGGGAUGCGGAAUUCCAGGUGUAGCGGUUAAAUGCGUAGAUAUCUGGAGGAACACCGGUGGCGAAGGCGGCAUCCUGGACCGACAUUGACGCUGAGGCGCGAAAGCCAGGGGAGCAAACGGGAUUAGAUACCCGAGUAGUC
rnacentral:rRNA from 1 species